AGGCAAGGCAAGACCUGGAGAAAGCUGAGCAGAGGAACCUGGAGUUUGUGAAGAAGACGGACGACCCGCACUCUGCCCUGGAGCAGCUCACAGAGGAGGUCAGUGGUUGAAAGUUCUGAAGAGGACUCAUCAAGGAGGUUUCCCAACAAACCUGGCAUUGAUUUAGGGCCUACAUCAAACAACGAAGUCUUAGAUUUUAAAACCAAGCAUGUCCUGAAAUCAAAGUUACCGAAGCUAAUGAAGGCUUCUCAGCAAUCC